UUAAUAAAAUGGUCAUCAACAUAUUUUACCAAUGGAUUGGAAAAUCCAUUGGUAAUUAACGAUGACUACAAAUCUGUCCAAAAUUCCAACAUAUUCUCCUAUUCGUAAAAAUCAUCAAUAAAUAUUGCAAUUUGAUUUUUUUUUUUCUUCCUCCCCAUCCUCUUCCUUCUUCCCUUUUUUUCUUCUUCUUCUUCUUCUUCUUCUUCUUCUUUUUCUUCUUCUUCUUCUUCUUCUUCCUUUUUCUUCUUUUUCUUCCUCCUCUCCUACUUUCUUCCUCACCUUACUAGUUGUCUACCAUUAUUGUCAUUGCAUCUGUCAUCGCUACUUUCACCACCUCCUUUAUCUCCUCCUCUUAUUUUUUUUUUCUUCUUCCUCAUCCUCUUCCUCCUCCUUCAACUCUGGCCACCUCAAUCAUCACGCUAUCAUUGUCGUCUCCAUUAGCUCCGACUUCUCAUCCUCCUCUUUUCUUCUUUCUCCUUUUUUUCUUC
rnacentral:lncRNA from 1 species